AUUGAACGCUGGCGGCAUGCUUUACACAUGCAAGUCGAACGGUAACAGGGAGCUUGCUCCGCUGACGAGUGGCGAACGGGUGAGUAAUGCGUCGGAACGUGCCGAGUAGUGGGGGAUGACGCAUCGAAAGGUGUGCUAAUACCGCAUACGUACUGAGGUAGAAAGUGGGGGACCUUCGGGCCUCACGCUACUCGAGCGGCCGACGUCUGAUUAGCUAGUUGGUGAGGUAAAGGCUCACCAAGGCGACGAUCAGUAGCGGGUCUGAGAGGAUGAUCCGCCACACUGGGACUGAGACACGGCCCAGACUCCUACGGGAGGCAGCAGUGGGGAAUUUUGGACAAUGGGCGCAAGCCUGAUCCAGCCAUGCCGCGUGUCUGAAGAAGGCCUUCGGGUUGUAAAGGACUUUUGUCCGGGAGCAAAUGCCUGGUGUUAAUAGCACUGGGAGCUGAGAGUACCGGAAGAAUAAGCACCGGCUAACUACGUGCCAGCCGCCGCAGUAAGAC
rnacentral:rRNA from 1 species